rnacentral:rRNA from 1 species
UACGUAGGCAGCGAGCGUUGUUCGGAGUUACUGGGCGUAAAGGGUGUGUAGGCGGUUGUUUAAGUUUGGUGUGAAAUCUCCCGGCUCAACUGGGAGGGUGCGCCGAAUACUGAAUGACUUCGAGUGCGGGAGAGGAGAGUGGAAUUCCUGGUGUAGCGGUGAAAUGCGCAGAUAUCAGGAAGAACACCCGUGGCGAAGGCGGCUCUCUGGGACGGUACUGACGCUGAGACGCGAAAGCGUGGGGAGCGAACAGG